UGCGACCCCAGGUCAGGCGGGGCUACCCGCUGAGUUUAAGCAUAUCAAUAAGC
rnacentral:rRNA from 4 species